AGAGAGGUGCGACUCCACACUGUUCAAAAGUUCGCGCUCUGAUGGCGAGCGGCAGAAGGCUGAGCGCGGGCUGUCCCGCCUGAACGCAUCCACCUCCUCCUCACAGGACUUCUUCCCGACGUCACUGAGGUCCGGGUGGGGGUUCAUUUUAGUUGGAAGGGUUUGUUCCCGGCAACCUCCGGACGACAACAACUCCCUCUCUUUGGAAUUGCGCCAUUUCAUUCUUCGGUUUUGGAACCAUAUUUUCACCUUGAAAAAUACAUUAAAUAUUAUUAGGCUACCUAAUAGGCCUAAUGGUUGAUUCUAAUAACAAUAGUAUAACAUACCAGUAAUAAUCCCAAAAUAGGCCUAGCCUAUAUUAAGAUUAUGUUUUGUAUUGAUGUGGGCCUAAAUUACUUUUACAUUUUUACCUGUGAGUCUUUUAGCCCAAGUUUUGCAGCCAGCUUCUUUCUGUCUGGUUUGCUGAUGUAUUUCUGUUUCUGAAACAUUUUCUCCAGGGCUUUGCGCUGGACAUCAGAGAACACUGCCCGUCGGAGCAUCCCUCUCCUGGGCUUUCCUCUUGCAGCCAGCGGCCAUGAAAAGGGAGCGGGGUUGAAAGGCAUGGGGGAGCAGAGGACGGGGACUGGCAGCCCUGGAUCUCCUCCAAUGGCAUAAUGCUGCCAGCCGCAGUGCCUGCUGGCUGUGAGGACUCCACGGGGCCACGGAGAGCCCCUUCCCCACCAUUCUAGGCUUUCACAGGACACUUCCUGAAGAGGGACUUCAUGAAGUGACCAGCCUGUGAAGCCUUCAGCGGUUGUCGUGUCCAAUGAUGGUCAAGAUUGCUGACAGAAAGACCCCAAACAUUCAGCAGGACCUUUUGAACUCUGGGAUGCUCUUUAAAUAGGAUAUCUCAGUGCCCUCUGUAUUCAGCUGUCUGACAGACAGACAGUCACAGAGGAGGGUGCCCACUGGUUGAAGAGACCUGAAAAGGCAAGCCCUCUGCAGUAGCCUCAGACGCCCACACUAAAAACUCUCAGCUAUCAGUAAAACAUCAUUUUGUCUUUUUCUCAUGUGCUGUAUUUGUGGGAGUAAAAAACAAGUGUGGAUAAGUGUAAUAAAAUAAUAUGCUACUGAGACUCUAUAUACUGAGGCCUACAUUUGAAGAAGCCAGAAAACUCUGUAAAAGUCCCACAAUGUGAAUUUAUAGUCACUUUCUGCCAGAGUGAGUGAAGCAGAGGCCUCUGAAUCUGAGCUUUGUACAAAACCCACCCAAGAGUGAAGAGGCUGGACUGAGUAUGUGGCAUGCCCAGCUGCCUUGAAGUGGAGGGGUUUCCUUUUGGAGGCUCUCUGUCUCUCUGAAUACAAUGUAGGUGUUACUGCCCAGAGAGAAAAUAACAAAAAUAAUCACUUGAGAGCUGAGAUUCAUUCUUGAGGGGUGUUUUUUUUUCAUUCUCACUCAGUCAUGAAAUCAUUCAUCCUUCAGAUGAGGAGGAGUCCCCUUUACAAAGGGCCUGGGGCUGCCAAUGCAGUCUAGUCUCAUAGACUAGACGUAACAUAGUAAAACCUAACCCGGGACACUCAAAUUAGUAUGAUAUGUUAUGUUUGGUAUGGUUACAUAACACAGAUGGUUACUCGAAGCAAAUCUGAAAGUAGGGCGGUUGGUUGGUUGGGGUUGGAUGGUUGGGCAUAAAACUCGAACGUCUAGCAACUCAAAGGUUGCGCGUUCGAAUUUCAGCUAAUUAGCAACUUUGCAACUACUUACUACAUUUUAGCUACUUUGAAACUACUUAGCAUGUUAGCUAAUCCAUUAACCUAACUCCUAACCUUAUCCCUAACCUUAAGCACUAACCCUAAUGUCAACCACCUAGCAAACGUUAGCAAUAGACACCUAGCCAAUGUUAACCACAACAAAUUGGAAUUUUUAACAUAUCAUACGUUUUACACAUUUGUAACACAUUGUACAAAUUGCAAUUUGUGACAUAUCACACAAAUUGUCAUUCGUAACAUACAGUUGAAGACAGAAGUUUACAGGUUUGAGUCAUUAAAACUAGUUUUUCAACCACUCCACAAAUUUCUUGUUAACAAACUAUAGUUUGGGCAAGCCGGUUAGGACAUCUACUUUGUGCAUAACACAAGUAAUUUUUCCAACAAUUGUUUACAGACAGAUUAUUUCACCUAUAAUUCACUGUAUCACGAUUCCAGUGGGUCAGAAGUUUACAUACACUAAGUUGACAGUGCCUUUAAACAGCUUGGAAAAUUCCAGAAAAUUAUGUCAUGGCUUUAGAAGCUUCUGAUAGGCUAAUUGACAUAAUUUGAGUCAAUUGGAGGUGUACCUGUGGAUGUAUUUCAAGGCCUACCUUCAAACUCAGUGCCUCAUUGGAAAAUCAAAAGAAAUCAGCUAAGACCUCAGAAAAAAAAUGUAGACCUCCACAAGUCUGGUUCAUCCUUGGGAGCAAUUUCCAAACACCUGAAGGUACCACGUUCAUCUGUAAAAACAAUAGUACGCAAGUAUAAACACCAUGGGAUCACGCAUACUGCUCAGGAAGGAGACGCGUUCUGUUUCCUAAAGAUGAACGUACUUUGGUGCAAAAAGUGCAAAUCAAUCCCAGAAGAAUAGCAAAGGACCUUCUUUUUUUUAUACCUUUAUUUAACUAGGCAAGUCAGUUAAGAACAAAUUCUUAUUUUCAAUGACGGCCUAGGAACAGUGGCAUUGCCUGUUCAGGGGCAGAACAGAAGAUUUGUACCUUGGGGAUUUGUACCUCGGGGAUAUGAACUUGCAAUCUUUCAGUUACUAGUCCAACGCUCUAACCACUAGGCUACCCUGCCACCACCUUGUGAAUAUGCUGAAGGAAACAGGUACAAAAGUAACUAUAUCCACAGUAAAACGAGUCCUAUAUCGACACAACCUGAAAGGCUGCUCAGCAAGGAAGAAGCCGCUGCUCCAAAAUCGGCAUAAAAACCACCAGACUACGGUUUGCAACUGCACAUGGUGACAAAGAUUGUACUUUUUGGAGAAAUGUCCUCUGGUCUGAUGAAACGAAAAUAGAACUGUUUGGCCAUAAUGACCAUCGUUAUGUUUGGAGGAAAAAGGGGGAGGCUUGCAAGCCGAAGAACACCAUCCCAUCCGUGAAGCACGGGGGUGGCAGCAUCAUGUUGUGGGGGUGCUUUGCUGCAGGAGGGACUGAUGCACUUCACAAAAUAGAUGGCAUCAUGAGGGAGGAAUAUUAUGUGGAUAUAUUGAAACAAAUUCUCAAGACAUCAGUCAGGAAGUUAAAGCUUGGUCGCAAAUGGAUCUUCCAAAUGGACAAUGACCCCAAGCAUACUUCCAAAGUUGUGGCAAAAUGGUUUAAGGACAACAAAGUCAAGGUAUUGGAGUGGCCAUCACAAAGCCCUGACCUCAAUCCUAUAGGACAUUUGUGGGCAGAACUGAAAAACCAUGUGUGAGCAAGGAGGCCUACAAACCUGACUCAGUUACACCAGCUCUGUCAGGAGGAAUGGGCCAAAAUUCACCCAACUUAUCGUGGGAAGCUUGUGGAAGGCUACCCCGAAACGCUUGACCCAAGUUAUGCUACCAAAUACUAAUUGAGUGUAUGUAAACUUCUGACCCAUUGGAAAUGUGAUGAAAGAAAUAAAAGCUGAAAUAAUUCAUUCUCUCCACUAUUAUUCUGACAUUUCACAUUCUUAAAAUAAAAUGGUGAUCCUAACUGACCUAAAACAGGGAAUCUUUACUCGGAUUAAAUGACAGGAAUUGUGAAAAACUGAGUUUAAAUGUAUUUGGCUAAGGUGUAUGUAAACUUCCGACUUCAACUGUAUCAUUCGUAAUGGAUGAUCGACAUCCACAAAUUAAUACAUGCCAUACAAAAUGUAUCAUAUCAAACUAAUUGUCCCGGAUUUACAUUUACUAUUUUAUGUCUACCCCUGAGUCCAGGUUGGCCAAUGGCCCCCCAGACAUUUUAUGGGACCUUUUCUCAAUUUUUAAGUCUGAAUAAAACCAUGCAUAUUUUAA